rnacentral:rRNA from 1 species
UACGUAGGGUGCGAGCGUUGUCCGGAAUUAUUGGGCGUAAAGAGCUCGUAGGCGGCUUGUCGCGUCGGUUGUGAAAGCCCGGGGCUUAACCCCCGGGUCUGCAGUCGAUACGGGCAGGCUAGAGUUCGGUAGGGGAGAUCGGAAUUCCUGGUGUAGCGGUGAAAUGACGCAGAUAUCAGGAGGAACACCGGUGGCGAAGGCGGAUCUCUGGGCCGAUACUGACGCUGAGGAGCGAAAGCGUGGGGAGCGAACAGG